CCCCACCAGACCCUCCGGCCCUGAAUCCUCCGGCCCCACCUCUCCCGACCCAGGACCGGAGCUGACCCUCCCAGACUCCCUCACACCAGCUCACCAACUAUCCACUAGCUCCGCACGCGACGACUGUACCUUGGACUCCCUAAAAAGGUUUCCGUUUCCACUUCCGCCCAGGGAGACUUCCGGGAGAGCCUGGCACGCCCCGCCAGGCAUCCAGCCCCUCUACCUUCGGCCUCCGGGGGACUCUAUGGUCGCGAGAAGUCUGGGCGCGACCCCGCCUGGCCCCACCCCCAGCCUGCUCGCGCUCAUUCAUUCAUUAUUCAUUCAGAAGCUUUUUAGGAGCUGUCCUCGACCUAGACCUCCGGCUGGUCGGAUGUGAGGCAUGAGGGAGAGGAGGGGCCAGGAGUGUCUCGCAGAAGAAGGGUUGAUGAUCAGGGGAGUGGAGAGCUGAGGAAAGAGAUGAGGGGCUGAAGACUAGAAGAGACUACACAUGGAGAGAGUUCCAGGAGGGAGAAGUGCGGCCAGACCGAGGCUGGAGAAGGAGGCGCAGCCAAAGAGGGAAAGGCCGCCAAGCUGCAGGUGCUGGAGAGAGGGGAGGACUGAGGAAGAAGGGGCUCAGGAAAAGGCUGGAAAGGGGUCCAGGGUGGGCAAGGAUGUAGAUGCUGGUUGGCUUCCACGAUGUGCCUCUCGCAUGGGCUCUGUCACUCACUCAACAGCCAACUUCUGUCCCCGGGAUAGUGAUGGGGGCCAAGGGCCCUGCUGCACACUUGGACAGGAUGAGCUUGGCCCAUGUUUUGUAGAAUCUGCAAAAGCCCCAGGUUCUCUCAAAAUGUCACAGUGGUAGCUUGGAGCCCCUGGACUCCCCCAAUUCCUCCUUAGGCAUUCACCCUCCUCCAGGGGGCUCCCCAUAAUUGGCCUGAAUGGUGCCCUUCCCAUUCCCCUAACGUGCCCCUCCCAUAACUCCUCAAAGUUCAGGAUACACCAGGCACUGUGGGUUAUAAUAAAGUCUGCCUUUAUUGA